AUUGGAGGGCRAGUCUGGUGCCAGCAGCCGCGGUAAUUCCAGCUCCAAUAGCGUAUAUUAAAGUUGUUGCGGUUAAAAAGCUCGUAGUUGAAUCUGUGUGCCACGCUGUCGGUUCACCGCUCGCGGUGUUUAACUGGCAUGAUUGUGGGACGUCCUACCGGUGGGCUUACGUUCGUGCAAACGGAUGCGGUCCAACUAAUAUCCCAUCGCGGUGCUCUUCAUCGAGUGUCGAGGAGGGCCGGUACGUUUACUUUG
rnacentral:rRNA from 1 species